GUGGGGAAUCUUAGACAAUGGGGGAAACCCUGAUCUAGCCAUGCCGCGUGAGCGAUGAAGGCCUUAGGGUUGUAAAGCUCUUUCAGCUGGGAAGAUAAUGACGGUACCAGCAGAAGAAGCCCCGGCUAACUCCGUGCCAGCAGCCGCGGUAAUACGGAGGGGGCUAGCGUUGUUCGGAAUUACUGGGCGUAAAGCGCGCGUAGGCGGACCAGAAAGUUGGAGGUGAAAUCCCAGGGCUCAACCUUGGAACUGCCUUCAAAACUCCUGGUCUGGAGUUCGGGAGAGGUGAGUGGAAUUCCGAGUGUAGAGGUGAAAUUCGUAGAUAUUCGGAGGAACACCAGUGGCGAAGGCGGCUCACUGGCUCGAUACUGACGCUGAGGUGUGAAAGCGUGGGGAGCAAACAGGAUUAGAAACCCGUGUAGUCC
rnacentral:rRNA from 1 species